UUUAUCGGAGAGUUUGAUCCUGGCUCAGGACGAACGCUGGCGGCGUGCCUAAUACAUGCAAGUCGAGCGGACAGAUGGGAGCUUGCUCCCUGAUGUUAGCGGCGGACGGGUGAGUAACACGUGGGUAACCUGCCUGUAAGACUGGGAUAACUCCGGGAAACCGGGGCUAAUACCGGAUGGUUGUCUGAACCGCAUGGUUCAGACAUAAAA
rnacentral:rRNA from 1 species